UCCAUCUCCUUUAACUGCCUUGCUUCAAGAACUCUUGAAAUCCAGAAAAAAAUUUGUACAAAUUUUGUGUUGGGAAGUUAUGUUGAAGAAGUCAUCAUUUAUACUAUUGCUAUCAAUCCAUUGAUGAGCUGUAAUCCUGCAACUCUUGAUGGGCUCUUCUUUAUGGUCAACUUUCUACUUCGAAAAAGGAAAAGGAUUGAAGUUUCCUAUCAGUAAACAAAGUUGUUGAAGAAAGUGAACAAGACAAUCUUGGAAUGGCUUACAAUUAGGCAUGAAUUGUUUAUGAGCUGUCUUUGAAUAUCCUUUUCUCCUCCAGAUUUUCCCUUUAGAUAUGGUCAGGACCCAGUUGAGCUGGUUUUGGGAAGAAUCUUUGACAGUCAAUGUUGUAAUAGAAGAAUAAUGUUAUAUGUACAUAUUAUAAAUACAUAAAAUAGACAUAUCAAUUAUGUA